CAGUCGCCGCGGUAAUACGUAGGUGGCAAGCGUUGCCCAGAAUUAUUGGGCGUAAAGGGCUCGCAAGCGGUUUCUUAAGUCUGAUGUGAAAGCCCCCGGCUCAACCGGGGAGGGUCAUUGGAAACUGGGAAACUUGAGUGCAGAAGAGGAGAGUGGAAUUCCACGUGUAGCGGUGAAAUGCGUAGAGAUGUGGAGGAACACCAGUGGCGAAGGCGACUCUCUGGUCUGUAACUGACGCUGAGGAGCGAAAGCGUGGGGAGCGAACAGGAUUAGAUACCCGCGUAGUCCCUGUCUCUUAUAC
rnacentral:rRNA from 1 species